UACGGAGGGGGCUAGCGUUGCUCGGAAUCACUGGGCGUAAAGCGCACGUAGGCGGGUCCUUAAGUCCGGGGUGAAAUCCCGGAGCUCAACUCCGGAACUGCCUUUGAUACUGGGGAUCUUGAGUCCGGAAGAGGUGAGUGGAACUCCGAGUGUAGAGGUGAAAUUCGUAGAUAUUCGGAAGAACACCAGUGGCGAAGGCGGCUCACUGGUCCGGUACUGACGCUGAGGUGCGAAAGCGUGGGGAGCAAACAGG
rnacentral:rRNA from 1 species